GCCAUUCGGUGCAAACCACCAGGGUCAUCUUUUGGUGCAAUGUCUGCAUGGCUCUUAACUUCUUACACCUGCUGCUUCAUGUGGUGAACGAAGGCUGCUGUGUCUUGGAUCUUUACACACCAGGAAUUGAAGAGCUAUUUUGCUUUAUAGACUGAAUGAGAACCAUCAGGUUUUCUUUCCAAGAAAAGGUUAAUCCUGCGCCCCUAUUCAAUGGAUCGAAUUCAUUAAACCUGACGAGAGACGAAAGUUCAGCGAAAACUGACUGACGUGCUAUACUCCUGUACUGACGUGACCACUGAUGUGCAGUAUUCAGCAAUAUUGCUCACUUGCGUGCCAUCCUUUCCUCGCUCCGAUGAUUCAUGGGGGAUUUGAGCCUGCUCCAGCUAUGCGGCCAGCAACGUCAGCAUCAUUUGACUACCCAACCGACUUCUACUACCCCUGCUCUCAACACAGAACGGAGUUUUACUCUUAGAUUGUUUGGCUGUUUGCGAUGUGUGAUGGCGCUUUCUUGGACGAGAUGAUGAUUUUGGGGAGAAAAAUAUUGUAAUUGUGUGGUCCUGGCAGAGAUAUCCUUGAGUUAAUGCUGGCCUUUGUCAAUGACAGAAGAGUGCCUUCCAUCAACGUACUGCUCAAUCCUCAUCUUCGCGAUGCACUGCUUUUUUUUUUGCUGCUACACAACUUGUGUUAGACCACUUCAGGGGCCGCUUCCGUCCGCUGUGACACUGUAGUCACUCACCACGGUAUUUUGCCCAGGUACCCGAAAAUUGACUUAUUUCCGUAGAUUAUCUACUAAUAAUCUACUUGCUUUAAAUCUGUGUCUCUUUAAUAAUUCCUAAAUCAGGACUUCCCUUCUUGCGAGUCGUAUUACGAAAUAUUAUUUAAACCUUUUUUUCUAACGCUAGAUGAACGCUAGAAUAUCAUGAUAAUUUUCAACUGUCAAAAUAGUUAGUUUCAGUUACUUUGCACAUCUCUGUAAACAUUUAUCGGCAGUUAAUAUUGUGUGGGAACUUUUUUGGGGAUAACUGACGAUAACUAUUCCGCAAACAAAGCUCACUUGUUAUUUCGGUAAUUGCUUUUUUUAUCCACUUCCGGUUUCUAAAUU